rnacentral:tRNA from 1 species
GCCUGGGUGGCUCAGUGGUUGAGCAUCUGCCUUCAGAGCAGGGUAUGAUCCCAGGGUCCUGGGAUCAAGUCUCACAUCGGGCU